AACGCACGAGACCUGCGGACCUGCGGAGGGAUCAUUACUGAGUGAGGGCCCUCUGGGUCCAACCUCCCACCCGUGUUUAACGAACCUUGUUGCUUCGGCGGGCCCGCCUCACGGCCGCCGGGGGGCAUCCGCCCCCGGGCCCGCGCCCGCCGAAGCCACCUGUGAACGCUGUCUGAAGUUGCAGUCUGAGAAAAUUAUUAAAUUAAUUAAAACUUUUAACAACGGAUCUCUAGAUCGGAA
rnacentral:misc_RNA from 1 species